rnacentral:rRNA from 1 species
UACUGAAGAGGCUAGCGUUGUUCGGAAUUACUGGGCGUAAAGCGCGCGUAGGCGGCUUACCAAGUUGGGGGUGAAAUGCCGGAGCUCAACUCCGGAACUGCCUUCAAAACUGGUAGGCUCGAGUCCGGAAGAGGGGCGUGGAAUUCCCAGUGUAGAGGUGAAAUUCGUAGAGAUUGGGAAGAACACCGGUGGCGAAGGCGGCGCCCUGGUCCGGUACUGACGCUGAGGCGCGAAAGCGUGGGGAGCAAACAGG